ACAUUGCUCUUAACUCCACUGCCUAUCCCAAAACCUGUAAGAACUAAUGAUAAUCCACCACCCUUUGCUGACUCUCUUUUCAGAUUCAGCCUGCCUGCACCCAGGUGAAAUAAACAGCCUUGUUGCUCACACAAAGCCUGUUUGUUGGUCUCUUCACAUGGACCUGUGAGACAGAGAGGACCUGAGAUAGUGCCCCCUGCCCACCCUGAAGACAUCUUACUGGUGCUUCCCUCGCAUGAGGUAUCACACUGGUCCGUUACAUUGACGACAUUAUGCUGACGGGAGCGACAAGUAGCAACCACACUGGACUCAUUGUUGAGACAUUUAUGUGCCAGCGGAUGGGAAAUAAAUCUGACUAAAAUUCAGGUGAGGCUGGAGAAUAGGGAAACUGAGCAGGAGGGUAGCAAAGGUAAUUAAAAGUUAAAUAAAGGGCAGAAUGACUAAAAGCAGAAAGUAGAAGCAAGGUAAAAGGGCAGUGGGCAAGAAGCAAGAUGAGAGCUAGAAGUUGAGCAGUCAAAACAAAAAGAGAAGUGAGCAAGUACACCCUGGCUGGCAGGAUCCAGACCAAACCAGUAAGGGGCCGCUCUUCAGGGCUAGGCAUGUGCAUUAGAGAGAAAACAUUUCCUUACCAUGACCCCGUAUGAUAAUCAGCUCAUUAAAGCUCAUGCAUGUUGGGGACCAGCCUCAACACCACCCACAGGGUACCCGAGGUCGGGUGGUAACAAAGGAUUGAGAAGAGACAGGUUAAGUGCUCAUAAAGGUGGGAGCCAGGGGGCCAGUUGCAAAUGGAGGCCACAAAAGGCUCAGAGCUCUGGUCUCCACACUAUUGAGUAUAAUCACUUAGAUCUAAGAAGCAGAUGUUCAGGACGAAACAGUGAAAGGGUGGCAGUGCGUCAUAGGUGUCAGGCCUCUGAGCCCAAGCCAAGCCAUCGCAUCCCCUGUGACAUGCGCGUAUACAUCCAGAUGGCCUGGAGUAACUGAAGAUCCACAAAAGAAGUGAAAAUAGCCUUAACUGAUGACAUUCCACUAUUGUGAUUUGUUCCUGCCCCACCAUAACUGAUCAAUGUACUUUGUAA
rnacentral:lncRNA from 10 species